GACGAACGCUGGCGGCGUGCUUAACACAUGCAAGUCGAACGAUGAACCCGGAGCUUGCUCCGGUGGAUUAGUGGCGAACGGGUGAGUAACACGUGAGUAACCUGCCCUUGACUCUGGGAUAACUGCGGGAAACUGUAGCUAAUACCGGAUACGACCCUCGGCGGCAUCGCCAGGGGGUGGAAAGAAUUUCGGUCAAGGAUGGACUCGCGGCCUAUCAGCUAGUUGGUGAGGUAACGGCUCACCAAGGCGACGACGGGUAGCCGGCCUGAGAGGGGAACGGGGGAAGCGGGGACUGAGACACGGCCCAGACGCGUACGGGAGGCAGCAGUGGGAAAUACUGCACAAUUGGCGCAAGCCUGAUGCAGCAACGGCGCGUGAGGGAAGACGGCCUUGGGGUUGUAAACCUCUUUUAGUAGGGAAGAAGCGAAAGUGACGGUACCUGCAGAAAAGGCACCGGCUAACUACGUGCCAGCCGCCGCAGUAA
rnacentral:rRNA from 1 species